rnacentral:rRNA from 1 species
CCCUUAGAUGUUCUGGGCCGCACUCGCGCUACACUGAUGCAUUCAACGAGUUUCUUCCUGGUCCGAGAGGAAUGGGUAACCUUUUGAAAGUGCAUCGUGAUAGGGAUAGACUAUUGCAAUUAUUGGUCUUCAACGAGGAAUUCCUAGUAGACGUAGUUCAUCAGACUGCAUCGAUUACGUCCCUGCCCUUUGUACACACCGCCCGUCGCUCCUACCGAUUGAAUGCUCAGGUGAGCCAUUCGGACCUUCAUCAUGCCGGUUUCCGGUUUUGAUGAGGGAAAGUCUUGCGAACCUUAUCAUUUAGAGGAAGGAGAAGUCGUAACA